AAAAUCCGUCGACUUUUACAAUCGUGAGGGUUCAAGUCCCUCUAUCCCCAAAUAGACUAA
rnacentral:tRNA from 1 species